rnacentral:rRNA from 1 species
AAAAACUGAGGUGGUAUACGAUGGUUCCGCGUCUGAUUAGCUAGUUGGUGGGGUAAAAGCCUACCAAGGCAACGAUCAGUAGCCGGCCUGAGAGGGUGAACGGCCACAUUGGGACUGAGACACGGCCCAAACUCCUACGGGAGGCAGCAGUGGGGAAUAUUGCACAAUGGGGGAAACCCUGAUGCAGCGACGCCGCGUGAGUGAAGAAGUAUUUCGGUAUGUAAAGCUCUAUCAGCAGGGAAGAAAUACUGACCAUAGGGUCAGCAGACGGUACUUGACUAAGAAGCCCCGGCUAACUACGUGCCAGCAGCCGCGGUAAUACGUAGGGGGCAAGCGUUAUCCGGAUUUACUGGGUGUAAAGGGAGCGUAGACGGCAGCGCAAGUCUGAAGUGAAAUGCCAGGGCUUAACCCUGGAACUGCUUUGGAAACUGUGCAGCUAGAGUGCAGGAGAGGUAAGUGGAAUUUCUAGUGUAGCGGUGAAAUGCGUAGAUAUUAGGAGGAACACCAGUGGCGAAGGCGGCUUACUGGACUGUAACUGACGUUGAGGCUCGAAAGCGUGGGGAGCAAA